GUGGGGAAUAUUGGACAAUGGGCGCAAGCCUGAUCCAGCCAUGCCGCGUGAGUGAUGAAGGCCUUAGGGUUGUAAAGCUCUUUCAGUGGGGACGAUAAUGACGGUACCCACAGAAGAAGCCCCGGCUAACUUCGUGUCAGCAGCCGCGGUAAUACGAAGGGGGCUAGCGUUUUUCGGAUUUACUGGGCGUAAAGCGCACGUAGGCGGAUCGUUAAGUCGGGGGUGAAAUCCUGGAGCUCAACUCCAGAACUGCCUUCGAUACUGGCGAUCUUGAGUCCGGAAGAGGUGAGUGGAACUCCUAGUGUAGAGGUGGAAUUCGUAGAUAUUAGGAAGAACACCAGUGGCGAAGGCGGCUCACUGGUCCGGUACUGACGCUGAGGUGCGAAAGCGUGGGGAGCAAACAGGAUUAGAAACCCGUGUAGUCC
rnacentral:rRNA from 1 species